rnacentral:tRNA from 1 species
GAAAUAUGAAGACCAAAUGAAAGCCGCUAACUUAUCAUUUUAACGGUUCAAUCCCGUUUAUAUUUCU